AGAGUUUGAUCCUGGCUCAGAAUGAACGUUGGCGGCGUGGAUUAGGCAUGCAAGUCGAGCUAGAAGGGUUUGGCAGCUUGCUAUUGAACCUGGACAGCGGCGAAAGGGAGAGUAACGCGUAGUUACGUGCCCAGGGGUUCGGAAUAGCCACGGGAAACUGUGGGUAAUGCCGAAUAACAUCUCCGGAUCAAAGGUGUGAUUCCGCCCCUGGAGCGGACUGCGUCCUACUAGCUAGUUGGCGGGGUAAUGGCCCACCAAGGCAACAAUGGGUAGCGGGUGUGAGAGCAUGACCCGUCUCACUGGGACUGAGACACUGCCCAGACACCUACGGGUGGCUGCAGUCGAGAAUCUUCGGCAAUGGGCGAAAGCCUGACCGAGNGACGCCGCGUGCGGGGUGAAGGCCCUCGGGUUGUAAACCGCUGUCGUAGGGGAGGAAGGCUCCGUGAAGAACGGGGUUUGACCUUCCUAGAGAA
rnacentral:rRNA from 1 species